rnacentral:rRNA from 1 species
AUUGAACGCUGGCGGCAUGCCUUACACAUGCAAGUCGAGCGGUAAGGCCCUUUCGGGGGUACACGAGCGGCGAACGGGUGAGUAACACGUGGGUGACCUGCCCUCAGCUCUGGGAUAAGCCUGGGAAACCCGGGUCUAAUACCGGAUAUGACUCCAUGACGCAUGUUGUGGGGUGGAAAGCCUUGUGCGGCUGAGGAUGGGCCCGCGGCCUAUCAGCUUGUUGGUGGGGUGAUGGCCUACCAAGGCGACGACGGGUAGCCGGCCUGAGAGGGCGACCGGCCACACUGGGACUGAGACACGGCCCAGACUCCUACGGGAGGCAGCAGUGGGGAAUCUUGCGCAAGUGGGCGAAAGCCUGACGCAGCGACGCCGCGUGAGGGAUGACGCC